rnacentral:rRNA from 1 species
UACGUAGGGUCCGAGCGUUGUCCGGAAUUAUUGGGCGUAAAGGGCUCGUAGGCGGUCUGUUGCGUCGGGAGUGGAAUCUUACAGCUUAACUGUGAACUUGCUUCUGAUACGGGCAGACUAGAGGUAUGCAGGGGAGAACGGAAUUCCUGGUGUAGCGGUGAAAUGCGCAGAUAUCAGGAGGAACACCGGUGGCGAAGGCGGUUCUCUGGGCACUACCUGACGCUGGAUGCGCGAAAGCGUGGGGAGCAAACGGG